rnacentral:rRNA from 1 species
UACGUAGGGGGCAAGCGUUGUCCGGAAUCAUUGGGCGUAAAGAGCGUGUAGGCGGCCUUACAGGUCAGCUGUGAAAACUCGAGGCUCAACCUCGAGACGUCGGUUGAAACCGUAAGGCUAGAGUCCGGAAGAGGAGAGUGGAAUUCCCGGUGUAGCGGUGAAAUGCGCAGAUAUCGGGAAGAACACCCGUGGCGAAGGCGGCUCUCUGGGACGGUACUGACGCUGAGACGCGAAAGCGUGGGGAGCGAACAGG